AGCGAACGCUGGCGGCAGGCCUAACACAUGCAAGUCGAACGGACCCUUCGGGGUUAGUGGCGGACGGGUGAGUAACACGUGGGAACGUGCCUUUAGGUUCGGAAUAGCUCCUGGAAACGGGUGGUAAUGCCGAAUGUGCCCUUCGGGGGAAAGAUUUAUCGCCUUUAGAGCGGCCCGCGUCUGAUUAGCUAGUUGGUGAGGUAAUGGCUCACCAAGGCGACGAUCAGUAGCUGGUCUGAGAGGAUGACCAGCCACACUGGGACUGAGACACGGCCCAGACUCCUACGGGAGGCAGCAGUGGGGAAUCUUGCGCAAUGGGCGAAAGCCUGACGCAGCCAUGCCGCGUGAAUGAUGAAGGUCUUAGGAUUGUAAAAUUCUUUCACCGGGGACGAUAAUGACGGUACCCGGAGAAGAAGCCCCGGCUAACUUCGUGCCAGCCGCCGCCGUAA
rnacentral:rRNA from 1 species